rnacentral:rRNA from 1 species
CCAAGGAGUCUAACAUGUUCGCGAGUCAUUGGGACCGCAAAACCUAAAGGCGAAAUGAAAGUGAAGGUCGACCUUGCGUCGACUGAGGGAGGAUGGGUUGCGUCACGAUGCAGCCCCGCACUCCCGGGGCGUCUCGUACUCAUUGCGAGUAGAGGCGCACCCAGAGCGUACACGUUGGGACCCGAAAGAUGGUGAACUAUGCCUGGCCAGGACGAAGUCAGGGGAAACCCUGAUGGAGGUCCGUAGCGAUUCUGACGUGCAAAUCGAUCGUAGGAGCUGGGUAUAGGGGCGAAAGACUAAUCGAACCAUCUAGUAGCUGGUUCCCUCCGAAGUUUCCCUCAGGAUAGCUGGCACUCGCGUGAAGCGAGUCUCAUCUGGUAAAGCGAAUGAUUAGAGGCCUUGGGGCCGAAACGACCUCAACCUAUUCUCAAACUUUAAAUGGGUGAGAUCUCUGGCUUGCUUGAACAGUGAAGCCACGAGAUUUUUCGGAUCAGAGUGCCAAGUGGGCCAAUUUU